GUCUAUGGCCAUACCACCCUAAACGCACCCAAUCUCGUCUGAUUUCGGAAGCUAAGCAGGGUCGGACCUGGUUAGUACUUGGAUGGGAGACAAAUAAGCAAACUGGGGCUCAGAUA
rnacentral:rRNA from 1 species